GCCGGGCGUGGUGGCAUGCACCUGUAGUCCCAGCUACUCGGGAGGCUGAGGUGGGAGGAUCGCUUGAGCCCAGGAGGUCGAGGUUGCAGUGAGCUGAGAUCACGCCACUGCACUCCAGCCUGGGCAACAGAGCAACACCUCAUCUCAA
rnacentral:SRP_RNA from 2 species